GAUUGCGGUGGUUGUGGAGGCGGUUGUGGAGGUGGCUGUGGAGGUGGUUGUGGAGGCGGGUGCGGAGGUGGCGGCGGUUAAAAUUUAAUAUUAGGGUUAUGUAUGGUUAUUAAUGUAACUUUGUGAUUUCUGUGCGUGUGAUUUUAUUAUUUGUACAUGCAAGAUAUGAAGUGUGAUGUAUAUAAUUUCUUGUGAGAAUGAAAGUUGAAUCAUGAAUAUGUAUAUUGCA
rnacentral:lncRNA from 1 species